AAACAUCCUUGAUAUUCACGAAUCGAAUCAAAGUUUCUGCUUCACGCUAUAUCAAGUGCCAACACAUACAGGAACUGAGUACUGAAUGUUGAAUGCCGGAUAGCGGCGGACGGGUGAGUAACGCGUGGGCAACCUGCCUCAUACUGGGGGAUAACACAGGGAAACUUGUGCUAAUACCGCAUAAUAUCAUUAUAGGGCAUCCUGUGAUGAUCAAAGGAGCAAUCCGGUGUGAGAUGGGCCCGCGUCCAAUUAGCUAGUUGGUGGGGUAACGGCCCACCAAGGCGACGAUUGGUAGCCGAACUGAGAGGUUGAUCGGCCACAUUGGGACUGAGACACGGCCCAGACUCCUACGGGAGGCAGCAGUGGGGAAUAUUGCGCAAUGGGGGAAACCCUGAUGCAGCAACGCCGCGUGGAGGAAGAAGGUUUUCGGAUUGUAAACUCCUGUCUUUUGGGACGAUAAUGACGGUACCAAAAGAGGAAGCCACGGCUAACUACGUG
rnacentral:rRNA from 1 species